UACGUAGGGUGCGAGCGUUGCCCGGAUUCAUUGGGCGUAAAGCGCGCGUAGGCGGAUGCACGCGUCCCGCGUGAAAUCGCCCGGCUCAACCGGGCGGGGUCGCGGGAUACGGUGCGUCUGGAGCACGGGAGGGGGCAGUGGAAUUCCCGGUGUAGUGGUGGAAUGCGUAGAGAUCGGGAGGAACACCAGUGGCGAAGGCGACUGCCUGGACCGUGGCUGACGCUGAGGCGCGAAAGCGUGGGGAGCGAUCCGG
rnacentral:rRNA from 1 species